AAGUUUGAUCCUGGCUCAGGAUAAACGCUGGCGGCGUGCCUAAUACAUGCAAGUCGAACGAGGUUGUAGCAAUACGAUCUUAGUGGCGAAUGGGUGAGUAACGCGUUGGUGACCUGCCCGAAGAGGGGGAUAACAGUUCGAAAGGACUGCUAAUACCCCAUGUGGUCACGGAGAUUAGUGCUCUGUGAGUAAAGGAGAAAUCCGCUUUGGGAGGGGCCUGCGUACCAUCAGCUAGUUGUGAGGUAAUGGCUCACCAAGGCGACGACGGUUAGGGGGCCUGAGAGGGUGGCCCCCCAACUGGCACUGAAACACGGGCCAGACACCUACGGGUGGCAGCAGUAGGGAAUAUUGCACAUGGGCGAAAGCCUGAUGCAGCAACGCCGCGUGAGCGAUGAAGGCCUUCGGGUUGUAAAGUCUUUUUGGGGAGAUGAGGAAGGACAGUAUCCUCAGAAUAAGGAUCGGCUAACUACGUGCAGCAGCCGCGGUAACACGUAGGAUCCUAGCGUUAUCCGAAUUUACUGGGCGUAAAGCGGUGCAGGCGGUUUGAUAAGUUGGAUGUGAAAGCUCCUGGCUCAACUGGGAGAGGCCGUUAAAACUAUCAGACUUGAGGAUGGUAGAGGGAGGUAGAAUUCCCGGUGUAGUAGUGAAAUCGUAGAUAUCGGGAGGAAUACCAGUGGCGAAGGCGGCCUCCUGGACCAUUCCUGACGCUAGACACGAAAGCUAGGGUAGCGAAUGGGAUUAGAAACCCCAGUAGUCCUAGCCGUAAACAUGUGAACUUGGUGUCGGUGGGGUAAAAGCCAUCGGUGCCGAAGCUAACGCGAUAAGUUACCGCCUGGGGACUA
rnacentral:rRNA from 1 species